CGCACCAUCCCCAUUCUCCCCUGUUCCAAACCCACACAUAGAAUUUGGCACUGAAGAUGGGAUCACUAAAAUCAACAAUUCAUGCACUUACUCUGUUUUUAUCACUAUCCUUUGUUACAUGCAUCGCUUUUGCUGCUUCUGGCGGUAGAAUGGGCGGCAACUCUUUCUCUAAGCGAUCAUCUCCAUCAUCAUCUUCUCAUUCCUCGCAUUUCUC
rnacentral:misc_RNA from 1 species